GUGGGGAAUAUUGGACAAUGGGCGAAAGCCUGAUCCAGCCAUGCCGCGUGUGUGAAGAAGGUCUUCGGAUUGUAAAGCACUUUAAGUUGGGAGGAAGGGUAGUAACCUAAUACGUUGCUACUUUGACGUUACCGACAGAAUAAGCACCGGCUAACUUCGUGCCAGCAGCCGCGGUAAUACGAAGGGUGCAAGCGUUAAUCGGAAUUACUGGGCGUAAAGCGCGCGUAGGUGGUUUUGUAAGUUGGAGGUGAAAUCCCCGGGCUCAACCUGGGAACUGCCUCCAAAACUGCAUGACUAGAGUACGGUAGAGGGUAGUGGAAUUUCCUGUGUAGCGGUGAAAUGCGUAGAUAUAGGAAGGAACACCAGUGGCGAAGGCGACUACCUGGACUGAUACUGACACUGAGGUGCGAAAGCGUGGGGAGCAAACAGGAUUAGAUACCCCGGUAGUCC
rnacentral:rRNA from 1 species